rnacentral:rRNA from 2 species
GGGUUGUGAGGUUAAGCGACUAAGCGUACACGGUGGAUGCCCUGGCAGUCAGAGGCGAUGAAGGGCGUGCUAAUCUGCGAUAAGCGCCGGUAAGGUGAUAUGAACCGUUAUAACCGGCGAUACCCGAAUGGGGAAACCCAGUGUGACUCGUCACACUAUCAUUAACUGAAUCCAUAGGUUAAUGAGGCGAACCGGGGGAACUGAAACAUCUAAGUACCCCGAGGAAAAGAAAUCAACCGAGAUUCCCCCAGUAGCGGCGAGCGAACGGGGAGGAGCCCAGAGCCUGAAUCAGCAUGUGUGUUAGUGGAAGCGUCUGGAAAGGCGCGCGAUACAGGGUGACAGCCCCGUACACAAAAGCGCAUGUGCUGUGAGCUCGAUGAGUAGGGCGGGACACGUGGUAUCCUGUCUGAAUAUGGGGGGACCAUCCUCCAAGGCUAAAUACUCCUGACUGACCGAUAGUGAACCAGUACCGUGAGGGAAAGGCGAAAAGAACCCCGGCGAGGGGAGUGAAAAAGAACCUGAAACCGUGUACGUACAAGCAGUGGGAGNNNNNNNNNNNNNNNNNNACUGCGUACCUUUUGUAUAAUGGGUCAGCGACUUAUAUUCUGUAGCAAGGUUAACCGAAUAGGGGAGCCGGAGGGAAACCGAGUCUUAAUUGGGCGUUAAGUUGCAGGGUAUAGACCCGAAACCCGGUGAUCUAGCCAUGGGCAGGUUGAAGGUUGGGUAACACUAACUGGAGGACCGAACCGACUAAUGUUGAAAAAUUAGCGGAUGACCUGUGGCUGGGGGUGAAAGGCCAAUCAAACCGGGAGAUAGCUGGUUCUCCCCGAAAGCUAUUUAGGUAGCGCCUCGUGAAUUCAUCUCCGGGGGUAGAGCACUGUUUCGGCUAGGGGGCCAUCCCGGCUUACCAACCCGAUGCAAACUGCGAAUACCGGAGAAUGUUAUCACGGGAGACACACGGCGGGUGCUAACGUCCGUCGUGAAGAGGGAAACAACCCAGACCGCCAGCUAAGGUCCCAAAGUCAUGGUUAAGUGGGAAACGAUGUGGGAAGGCCCAGACAGCCAGGAUGUUGGCUUAGAAGCAGCCAUCAUUUAAAGAAAGCGUAAUAGCUCACUGGUCGAGUCGGCCUGCGCGGAAGAUGUAACGGGGCUAAACCAUGCACCGAAGCUGCGGCAGCGACACUGUGUGUUGUUGGGUAGGGGAGCGUUCUGUAAGCCUGCGAAGGUGGCCUGUGAGGGUUGCUGGAGGUAUCAGAAGUGCGAAUGCUGACAUAAGUAACGAUAAAGCGGGUGAAAAGCCCGCUCGCCGGAAGACCAAGGGUUCCUGUCCAACGUUAAUCGGGGCAGGGUGAGUCGACCCCUAAGGCGAGGCCGAAAGGCGUAGUCGAUGGGAAACGGGUUAAUAUUCCCGUACUUGGUGUUACUGCGAAGGGGGGACGGAGAAGGCUAUGUUGGCCGGGCGACGGUUGUCCCGGUUUAAGCGUGUAGGUGUGUGUUCCAGGUAAAUCCGGUUCACUUUAACACUGAGGCGUGACGACGAGGCACUACGGUGCUGAAGCAACAAAUGCCCUGCUUCCAGGAAAAGCCUCUAAGCAUCAGGUAACAUCAAAUCGUACCCCAAACCGACACAGGUGGUCAGGUAGAGAAUACCAAGGCGCUUGAGAGAACUCGGGUGAAGGAACUAGGCAAAAUGGUGCCGUAACUUCGGGAGAAGGCACGCUGACACGUAGGUGAAGUGAUUUACUCAUGGAGCUGAAGUCAGUCGAAGAUACCAGCUGGCUGCAACUGUUUAUUAAAAACACAGCACUGUGCAAACACGAAAGUGGACGUAUACGGUGUGACGCCUGCCCGGUGCCGGAAGGUUAAUUGAUGGGGUCAGCGCAAGCGAAGCUCCUGAUCGAAGCCCCGGUAAACGGCGGCCGUAACUAUAACGGUCCUAAGGUAGCGAAAUUCCUUGUCGGGUAAGUUCCGACCUGCACGAAUGGCGUAAUGAUGGCCAGGCUGUCUCCACCCGAGACUCAGUGAAAUUGAACUCGCUGUGAAGAUGCAGUGUACCCGCGGCAAGACGGAAAGACCCCGUGAACCUUUACUAUAGCUUGACACUGAACAUUGAGCCUUGAUGUGUAGGAUAGGUGGGAGGCUUUGAAGUGUGGACGCCAGUCUGCAUGGAGCCGACCUUGAAAUACCACCCUUUAAUGUUUGAUGUUCUAACGUGGACCCGUUACCCGGGUUGCGGACAGUGUCUGGUGGGUAGUUUGACUGGGGCGGUCUCCUCCUAAAGAGUAACGGAGGAGCACGAAGGUUGGCUAAUCCUGGUCGGACAUCAGGAGGUUAGUGCAAUGGCAUAAGCCAGCUUGACUGCGAGCGUGACGGCGCGAGCAGGUGCGAAAGCAGGUCAUAGUGAUCCGGUGGUUCUGAAUGGAAGGGCCAUCGCUCAACGGAUAAAAGGUACUCCGGGGAUAACAGGCUGAUACCGCCCAAGAGUUCAUAUCGACGGCGGUGUUUGGCACCUCGAUGUCGGCUCAUCACAUCCUGGGGCUGAAGUAGGUCCCAAGGGUAUGGCUGUUCGCCAUUUAAAGUGGUACGCGAGCUGGGUUUAGAACGUCGUGAGACAGUUCGGUCCCUAUCUGCCGUGGGCGCUGGAGAACUGAGGGGGGCUGCUCCUAGUACGAGAGGACCGGAGUGGACGCAUCACUGGUGUUCGGGUUGUCAUGCCAAUGGCACUGCCCGGUAGCUAAAUGCGGAAGAGAUAAGUGCUGAAAGCAUCUAAGCACGAAACUUGCCCCGAGAUGAGUUCUCCCUGAGACUUAAAGUCUCCUGAAGGAACGUUGAAGACGACGACGUUGAUAGGCCGGGUGUGUAAGCGCAGCGAUGCGUUGAGCUAACCGGUACUAAUGAACCGUGAGGCUUAACCUUACAACGCCGAAG